GCGCACGUGGUGGAACGGUAGACACGCUACCUUGAGGGGGUAGUGCCUUAUGGGCGUGGAGGUUCAAAUCCUCUCGUGCGCA
rnacentral:tRNA from 1 species